rnacentral:rRNA from 1 species
GAUGAACGCUGGCGGCGUGCCUAAUACAUGCAAGUCGAGCGAACAGAUGAGAAGCUUGCUUCUCUGAUGUUAGCGGCGGACGGGUGAGUAACACGUGGGUAACCUACCUAUAAGACUGGGAUAACUCCGGGAAACCGGGGCUAAUACCGGAUAAUAUUUUGAACCGCAUGGUUCAAUAGUGAAAGACGGUUUCGGCUGUCACUUAUAGAUGGACCAGCGCCGUAUUAGCUAGUUGGUAAGGUAACGGCUUACCAAGGCGACGAUACGUAGCCGACCUGAGGGGGUGAUCGGCCACACUGGAACUGAGACACGGUCCAGACUCCUACGGGAGGCAGCAGUAGGGAAUCUUCCGCAAUGGGCGAAAGCCUGACGGAGCAACGCCGCGUGAGUGAUGAAGGUCUUCGGAUCGUAAAACUCUGUUGUUAGGGAAGAACAAAUUUGUUAGUAACUGAACAAGUCUUGACGGUACCUAACCAGAAAGCCACGGCUAACUACGUGCCAGCCGCCGCAGUAA